rnacentral:lncRNA from 1 species
CGAGAACACCAUCGACCAGCUGCGCCUGGGUGCCAGGGUGAGCCUGUACGCCGACCCGCCACGGCCCAGCCGCAGCCUCGCCGUGGGCACCGUGGGCACCGGCUGCCGGGUGACGGCCCUCAGCAUCCCGCAGGCCAGGACGGCGGCUUUCGGCACGACCCCGGCCCCGGCCCCGCCGGCCUCGCCGGGUGGUGGAGCUCCAGCACCGGGACCGUCAGACCGGGAGGGAUCGCCCCAACCUCCUUCCCCCCCUCCACCCGGGGGGGGCUGCCCAGCCUGCCCGGGGCCGUGCCGCUGCCCGGGCACCCAGCUGACGAGGACGCUGGCGGGACAGACCCACAAGCUGCAGGCCCAGGCAAGCUCCGGGGGGGGGGGCGGCUGCAGCGGGGAGAGGGGGCUGCAGCGGGGCUGGGCUCAGCCCUUUCUCCCCCGGGCAGGUGGAAUCCUUCGAAGGCCGGAUCCGGGCUGGGAGCCCCGCGCCCCAGGAGCAGCUCCAGGUGCGUCAGCCCCGUCCCGGCCCCCCAGCCCGGGGGUGCCCGGCGGGGCCGGGGGGGUGGCGGGGACCAGGGGCCGAGGCGGCAGACUCGGACGUCGCCGCCGUUGUGCCGCAGAGGUUUAGGAAGCUGAGGGAUGCGCAGGAUGCGCUGGAGCGGGCGUACCUGCGAGCCCGGCAGCAGCACCCAGGGGCCUCGGGGGAGUUCGAUCCCGACCGCGAGGUGGAAGGGGAGAUUUUCCGCCUGGGGCUGCACUUGGAGGAGCUGAAGGAGCGGCUGGAGCCUGGGGCCAGGCGGCAGCUCCCCCCGCAAUGCCCGAACCAGCCCCGCUCCCCUCCGGCCCCUUCCCCGCCGCCGGCCGCCUGCUCCCCGCGCCCCGAGGUGAGCUGGGCAAGGCUUCAGGGGGAGCGGACGGGGCUGGGGGGUGCAAAGAAAGAUGCUGGGGUGGGGGUCGUGCUUCUCUGACCCCCUUUUGCUGUGCCCUGCAGAGCCCCGCGCUGAUGGAGGGUCCCCGGGGGACAGCGGGGGACGGCGAGGUGGUGACGGGGGGGGUUGCCCCGGCCCCUCUGGCACAAGCAGCUCCGAGUGGAGGAGGAUUUCGGUGACCUGCUGGAGCAGUGAGUGCCCUCGCAGUGGGGCAGGGGGGGGAUGCGGGCAGGGAGCGGCUCCCCAAAACCACCAACUCCUGCCUGCGGUCCCCCCAGGUACAAGCACUUCAAGUCCUUGCCAGAGUCGCUGAGCCUGGAGCAGCUGAGUCUGGCAGAGACUGGGUCCCAAGAGGAGGCGGAUAGACCUGCAGCAGGGGACGGUGGCCCCAGCAAGGUCGCCUGCAGGACACGGUCACUAGAGGAGGGGGUCGACCUCGAGACCUCCCCUUUGUAAGUGU